CCUGCCGGCGACCGGCGCACGGGUGAGUAACACGUAUCCAACCUGCCGAUGACUCGGGGAUAGCCUUUCGAAAGAAAGAUUAAUACCCGAUGGCAUAGUUCUUCCGCAUGGUAGAACUAUUAAAGAAUUUCGGUCAUCGAUGGGGAUGCGUUCCAUUAGCUUGUUGGCGGGGUAACGGCCCACCAAGGCAUCGAUGGAUAGGGGUUCUGAGAGGAAGGUCCCCCACAUUGGAACUGAGACACGGUCCAAACUCCUACGGGAGGCAGCAG
rnacentral:rRNA from 1 species